GACGAACGCUGGCGGCGUGCUUAACACAUGCAAGUCGAACGAGAGACGGUGAAGAGCUUGCUUUUUAUCGAAUCGAGUGGCAAACGGGUGAGUAACGCGUAAACAACCUGCCCCUGGGAUGGGGACAACAGCUGGAAACGGCUGCUAAUACCGAAUGAGCUCCACGUGCCGCAUGGCAGGUGGAGGAAAGGGUGGCCUCUGGAACAAGCUACCGCCGAGGGAGGGGUUUGCGUCUGAUUAGCUGGUUGGUGAGGUAAGGGCUCACCAAGGCGACGAUCAGUAGCCGGUCUGAGAGGAUGAACGGCCACAUUGGAACUGAGAGACGGUCCAGACUCCUACGGGAGGCAGCAGUGGGGAAUCUUCCGCAAUGGGCGAAAGCCUGACGGAGCAACGCCGCGUGAGUGAAGACGGCCUUCGGGUUGUAAAGCUCUGUUACACGGGACGAACGGGUUUUGUGCAAACAGCAUAAGACCGUGACGUACCGUAGAAGAAGC
rnacentral:rRNA from 1 species